UUGACUGGUUGCACUCAAUUGAUUGGGUUCAUUACGGCGGUGACGACUCUAGGGUUUGUGACUGAGUUAGGGUUAGCGGCAAGGGAUUUUGGGGUGAGAUGUUGUUUAUUGUUGCAUUUUGCAAUCACCUAUGUUAUGGGGGUUAAGUAUUUUUUUUAUCUUUUUAUUGUUUGCAAUUUGCAAUUUCAUUUUGCACAUUAGUCUUUUUUUU
rnacentral:lncRNA from 1 species